AGUGAACGCUGGCGGCAGGCCUAACACAUGCAAGUCGAACGGCAGCACAGUAAGAGCUUGCUCCUACGGGUGGCGAGUGGCGGACGGGUGACGAAUACAUCGGAAUCCACUUUUACGUGGGGGAUAACGUAGGGAAACUUACGCUAACACCGCAUAUGACCUACGGGUGAAAGCAGGGGUUCUUCGGACCUUUCGCGAUUGAAAGAGCCGACGUCGGAUUAGCUAGUUGGCGGGGUAAAGGCGCACCAAGGCGACGAUCCGAAGCUGGUCUGAGAGGAUGAUCAGCCACACUGGAACUGAGAAACGGUCCAGACUCCUACGGGAGGCAGCAGUGGGGAAUAUUGCGCAAUGGGCGAAAGCCUGAUCCAGCAAUGCCGCGUGAGUGAAGAAGGCCUUCGGGUUGUAAAGCCCUGUUGUUGGGAAAGAAAAAAAGCAGGUUAAUCCCCGACUGUUCUGACGGUACCCAAAGAAUAAGCACCGGCUAACUUCGUG
rnacentral:rRNA from 1 species